rnacentral:misc_RNA from 1 species
AGCAAUAUGCCCAGGAAGGCCACAAUUAUGGCAUAUUGCCACAUUCGGGCACUCUCUAGCAAAAUGUCCAGGUCGUUUGCAGUUCUUGCACAGAUUGCUUUGGCUGAAACCCCGACGCGACUCUCGUCUGUAAGGUGCACCACGAUAGGAAAGUCAGAGCGGAUCUUACGAUCCAUCGGGCUCCUGCUCCUGCUCCUGCUCCUGCUCUGGCUCCUGCUAUCAGAACUCAUGUUCAAAAAUAUUCUUACUAAUAACUACCUCCACUGAUCAGCACAAACACCAAACCACCACCAAUCCCAAACCAGCCGCUGCCUCCUGCCUCAAGUAAAAGUAAAUGGCAAAGCGAUUUGGAUGAGAGGGAAGGGUAUGCAGCUACUUAGGGUUCAGUUCAAUUACAGCAGCCAGGUCGACUGAAAUGGCCACACAGUAUAGAAGAAGGAACGCGACAGCGAAGACGAAAAACGGCGGCUUCGGCUUGAGGUGCAGCAACUGAAUAGG